GACGAACGCUGGCGGCGUGCUUAACACAUGCAAGUCGAACGGAAAGGCCCUGCUUUUGUGGGAUGCUCGAGUGGCGAACGGGUGAGUAACACGUGAGUAACCUGCCCUUGACUUUGGGAUAACUUCAGGAAACUGGGGCUAAUACCGGAUAGGAGCUCCUGCUGCAUGGUGGGGGUUGGAAAGUUUCGGCGGUUGGGGAUGGACUCGCGGCUUAUCAGCUUGUUGGUGGGGUAGUGGCUUACCAAGGCUUUGACGGGUAGCCGGCCUGAGAGGGUGACCGGCCACAUUGGGGCUGAGAUACGGCCCAGACUCCUACGGGAGGCAGCAGUGGGGAAUAUUGCACAAUGGGCGGAAGCCUGAUGCAGCAACGCCGCGUGCGGGAUGACGGCCUUCGGGUUGUAAACCGCUUUCGCCUGUGACGAAGCGUGAGUGACGGUAAUGGGUAAAGAAGCACCGGCUAACUACGUG
rnacentral:rRNA from 1 species